GACGAACGCUGGCGGCGUGCUUAACACAUGCAAGUCGAACGGAAAGGCCCUGCUUUUGUGGGGUGCUCGAUUGGCGAACGGGUGAGUAACACGUGAGUAACCUGCCCUUGACUUUGGGAUAACUUCAUGAAACUGGGGCUCAUACCGGAUAGGAGCUCCUGCUGCAUGGUGGGGGUUGGAAAGUUUCGGCGGUUGGGGAUGGACUCGCGGCUUAUCAGCUUGUUGGUGGGGUAGUGGCUUACCAAGGCUUUGACGGGUAGCCGGCCUGGGAGGGUGACCGGCCACAUUGGGACUGAGAUACGGCCCAGACGCCUACGGGAGGCAGCAGGGGGGAAUAUUGCACAGUGGGCGGAAGCCUGAUGCAGCAACGCCGCGUGCGGGAUGACGGGCUUCGGGUGGUAAACCACUUUCGCCUGUGACGAGGCGUGAGUGACGGUAAUGUGUAAAGAAGCACCGGCUAACUACGUG
rnacentral:rRNA from 1 species